GCAGUGGUGGCUCAUUGGUAGAAUUCUCGCCUUCCACGCAGGAGACCCGGGUAUAAUUCCUGGCCAAUGCA
rfam:Loxodonta africana unplaced genomic scaffold scaffold_114, whole genome shotgun sequence.